rnacentral:rRNA from 1 species
GGUUAAGCGACUAAGCGUACACGGUGGAUGCCCUGGCAGUCAGAGGCGAUGAAGGACGUGCUAAUCUGCGAUAAGCGUCGGUAAGGUGAUAUGAACCGUUAUAACCGGCGAUUUCCGAAUGGGGAAACCCAGUGUGUUUCGACACACUAUCAUUAACUGAAUCCAUAGGUUAAUGAGGCGAACCGGGGGAACUGAAACAUCUAAGUACCCCGAGGAAAAGAAAUCAACCGAGAUUCCCCCAGUAGCGGCGAGCGAACGGGGAGGAGCCCAGAGCCUGAAUCAGUGUGUGUGUUAGUGGAAGCGUCUGGAAAGGCGCGCGAUACAGGGUGACAGCCCCGUACACAAAAAUGCACAUGCUGUGAGCUCGAUGAGUAGGGCGGGACACGUGGUAUCCUGUCUGAAUAUGGGGGGACCAUCCUCCAAGGCUAAAUACUCCUGACUGACCGAUAGUGAACCAGUACCGUGAGGGAAAGGCGAAAAGAACCCCGGCGAGGGGAGUGAAAAAGAACCUGAAACCGUGUACGUACAAGCAGUGGGAGCACAGAGCAAUCUGUGUGACUGCGUACCUUUUGUAUAAUGGGUCAGCGACUUAUAUUCUGUAGCAAGGUUAACCGAAUAGGGGAGCCGAAGGGAAACCGAGUCUUAACUGGGCGUUAAGUUGCAGGGUAUAGACCCGAAACCCGGUGAUCUAGCCAUGGGCAGGUUGAAGGUUGGGUAACACUAACUGGAGGACCGAACCGACUAAUGUUGAAAAAUUAGCGGAUGACUUGUGGCUGGGGGUGAAAGGCCAAUCAAACCGGGAGAUAGCUGGUUCUCCCCGAAAGCUAUUUAGGUAGCGCCUCGUGAAUUCAUCUCCGGGGGUAGAGCACUGUUUCGGCAAGGGGGUCAUCCCGACUUACCAACCCGAUGCAAACUGCGAAUACCGGAGAAUGUUAUCACGGGAGACACACGGCGGGUGCUAACGUCCGUCGUGAAGAGGGAAACAACCCAGACCGCCAGCUAAGGUCCCAAAGUCAUGGUUAAGUGGGAAACGAUGUGGGAAGGCCCAGACAGCCAGGAUGUUGGCUUAGAAGCAGCCAUCAUUUAAAGAAAGCGUAAUAGCUCACUGGUCGAGUCGGCCUGCGCGGAAGAUGUAACGGGGCUAAACCAUGCACCGAAGCUGCGGCAGCGACACUGUGUGUUGUUGGGUAGGGGAGCGUUCUGUAAGCCUGUGAAGGUGUGCUGUGAGGCAUGCUGGAGGUAUCAGAAGUGCGAAUGCUGACAUAAGUAACGAUAAAGCGGGUGAAAAGCCCGCUCGCCGGAAGACCAAAGGGUUCCUGUCCAACGUUAAUCGGGGCAGGUGAGUCGACCCCUAAGGCGAGGCCGAAAGGCGUAGUCGAUGGGAAACAGGUUAAUAUUCCUGUACUUGGUGUUACUGCGAAGGGGGGACGGAGAAGGCUAUGUUGGCCGGGCGACGGUUGUCCCGGUUUAAGCGUGUAGGCUGGUUUUCCAGGCAAAUCCGGAAAAUCAAGGCUGAGGCGUGAUGACGAGGCACUACGGUGCUGAAGCAACAAAUGCCCUGCUUCCAGGAAAAGCCUCUAAGCAUCAGGUAACAUCAAAUCGUACCCCAAACCGACACAGGUGGUCAGGUAGAGAAUACCAAGGCGCUUGAGAGAACUCGGGUGAAGGAACUAGGCAAAAUGGUGCCGUAACUUCGGGAGAAGGCACGCUGAUAUGUAGGUGAAGUCCCUCGCGGAUGGAGCUGAAAUCAGUCGAAGAUACCAGCUGGCUGCAACUGUUUAUUAAAAACACAGCACUGUGCAAACACGAAAGUGGACGUAUACGGUGUGACGCCUGCCCGGUGCCGGAAGGUUAAUUGAUGGGGUCAGCGCAAGCGAAGCUCUUGAUCGAAGCCCCGGUAAACGGCGGCCGUAACUAUAACGGUCCUAAGGUAGCGAAAUUCCUUGUCGGGUAAGUUCCGACCUGCACGAAUGGCGUAAUGAUGGCCAGGCUGUCUCCACCCGAGACUCAGUGAAAUUGAACUCGCUGUGAAGAUGCAGUGUACCCGCGGCAAGACGGAAAGACCCCGUGAACCUUUACUAUAGCUUGACACUGAACAUUGAGCCUUGAUGUGUAGGAUAGGUGGGAGGCUUUGAAGUGUGGACGCCAGUCUGCAUGGAGCCGACCUUGAAAUACCACCCUUUAAUGUUUGAUGUUCUAACGUGGACCCGUGAUCCGGGUUGCGGACAGUGUCUGGUGGGUAGUUUGACUGGGGCGGUCUCCUCCUAAAGAGUAACGGAGGAGCACGAAGGUUGGCUAAUCCUGGUCGGACAUCAGGAGGUUAGUGCAAUGGCAUAAGCCAGCUUGACUGCGAGCGUGACGGCGCGAGCAGGUGCGAAAGCAGGUCAUAGUGAUCCGGUGGUUCUGAAUGGAAGGGCCAUCGCUCAACGGAUAAAAGGUACUCCGGGGAUAACAGGCUGAUACCGCCCAAGAGUUCAUAUCGACGGCGGUGUUUGGCACCUCGAUGUCGGCUCAUCACAUCCUGGGGCUGAAGUAGGUCCCAAGGGUAUGGCUGUUCGCCAUUUAAAGUGGUACGCGAGCUGGGUUUAGAACGUCGUGAGACAGUUCGGUCCCUAUCUGCCGUGGGCGCUGGAGAACUGAGGGGGGCUGCUCCUAGUACGAGAGGACCGGAGUGGACGCAUCACUGGUGUUCGGGUUGUCAUGCCAAUGGCACUGCCCGGUAGCUAAAUGCGGAAGAGAUAAGUGCUGAAAGCAUCUAAGCACGAAACUUGCCCCGAGAUGAGUUCUCCCUGACCCUUUAAGGGUCCUGAAGGAACGUUGAAGACGACGACGUUGAUAGGCCGGGUGUGUAAGCGCAGCGAUGCGUUGAGCUAACCGGUACUAAUGAACCGUGAGGCUUAACCUU